UGCAACAUUUAGUUUAAGUUCCCUCUCAGUAAAAUCUUGAAUCUCCAAUUCAGACACCUGCGUAAAACUUCCUCUUGAUAGAACAUUCAAUAGCUUAAAAAAAGAUCCACCACAUAAUUUUAAUGUUUAAUUCAAAAGGUAUUACUAUGUCUAAAGUAACUGGUUCAGUAAAAUGGUUUAACGAAACUAAAGGUUUUGGCUUUCUUUCUCAAGACAACGGCGGUCAAGAUGUAUUCGUACACUUCAACGCAAUCGUUGCUGACGGCUUCAAAACUCUAACUGAAGGUCAGAAAGUAAGCUUCAACGUAGAGCAAGGUAACAAAGGUCCUCAAGCGACUGAAGUUACUCCUCUAUAAGACUGCUUUUCUUGGUGUAGCGCAACCGCGCUGCACCAAACU
rnacentral:sRNA from 1 species